AGCAUAGGAGAAAUACCUGCCAAAACAUAGUCUUGUAUCUUUGAGUGGAAAGCAACAACCAAUUAAAAAACUACUGUUCUUCCCUUCAUGGCCUCAACCCCACCAAAAAAGAAUGAGAUUACAUAUCAAUCCACGAUUUAUUUGAAAUUGAAAUCAAGAAUUAAUUUAUAAGUUUAUGGACAAGAAAAAUACUCCUAAUCAAAAAUAAAAUUUAAUACAGAAAAUAAUAUAACCAUGCAGAGCUUGAGAAUAUCUUGUUGAAUAAAUCAGAGUCAAUUUUGGACUUGAGUAUUGUGAUAUAACUGAAAUGUAGUAGUAUUGUAAUAACUUUAGAAAAAUGUUGUGAUGCAUAAUUAUAAUUAAAUGGAGUCGUCCUUGUUUGGAUACCGCUCUCCGGCCUGACCCUAUAUGAAAUUUCACAAAAUUCCUCCACCAUGGUAUUUAAGAAAAAAAAAGUUUUUUUUUUCCCAA
rnacentral:misc_RNA from 1 species